GUGGGCGCGGACCCGGGCGCUCGCACGUGCGGGCGCGCCCGCGGGUGGGCGGUGCGUGGGGCUCCGGCCCGAGUCCCCCAGCCACGGUCGUUCGGGCUUGCCGCUACCCCGCGCCUGCCCUCUCUCCUGGUGCCAAGGACCCCGUCCGCGCGCGCCCCGGGUCUCGGGCUCCUCUUUCCUCUCGAGUCCGUGCCAGGCUUCCGAGGCAGGCGCGCUCCUACUCGCCACCGCUGGGAAGCUGCGAACAUCCACACAAGAUUGUCCAUCACUUUUGGUCACUUCUCUCUGCACAGUCAUCAACACAGGUGCCCGUCAGAAUAUCGAUGAAAGUCCUGGCACUAACCUAGAUGGAACCCAGGGCCUCACCAUGCUAGUCAAGUGCUCCACUGCUGAGACAGGGUCUUGGCUAAGUUGCCAGUCUGGCCCUGAACUUGCCAUCCUCCUGCCUUUGCCUUCCAAGCAGCUGUGAUGACAGCUGUGGCCACUGCACCUGGCUCCUGGUCAUCUCGAUGAAGCUGGGUGUUGGCAUAUGAACUUCACUGGGUCUGAUGUGUGUUUAAAACCUUCCAUAUUAAAAAAAAAAUCAUUUU